rnacentral:rRNA from 1 species
UACGUAGGGUGCGAGCGUUAAUCGGAAUUACUGGGCGUAAAGCGUGCGCAGGCGGUCCGCAAAGUCUGAUGUGAAAGCCCCGGGCUCAACCUGGGAACUGCAUUGGAAACUAACGGGCUCGAGUGUGGCAGAGGGGGGUGGAAUUCCACGUGUAGCAGUGAAAUGCGUAGAGAUGUGGAGGAAUACCGAUGGCGAAGGCAGCCUCCUGGGCCAACACUGACGCUCAUGCACGAAAGCGUGGGGAGCAAACAGG